AAAAAAGCCACUAAGCUUCAGCUUACAACGACCGUACCGCAAACCGACACUGGUGCGCGAGAUGAGUAUUCUAAGGCGCUUGAGAGAACUCUGGAGAAGGAACUCGGCAAAUUGACACCGUAACUUCGGAAGAAGGUGUGCCUUUAGUAGGUGAUCCAUUUACUUGGUGAGCCCAAUGAGGCCGCAGAGAAUCGGUGGCUGCAACUGUUUAUUAAAAACACAGCACUCUGCAAAGACGAAAGUCGACGUAUAGGGUGUGACUCCUGCCCGGUGCUGGAAGAUUAAAUGAUGGGGUGCAAGCUCUUGACUGAAGUCCCAGUAAACGGCGGCCGUAACUAUAACGGUCCUAAGGUAGCGAAAUUCCUUGUCGGGUAAGUUCCGACCUGCACGAAUGGAGUAAUGAUGGCCACACUGUCUCCUCCAGAGACUCAGCGAAGUUGAAAUGUUUGUGAUGAUGCAAUCUCCCCGCGGAAAGACGGAAAGACCCCAUGAACCUUUACUGUAGCUUUACAUUGGACUUUGAACAGAUCUGUGUAGGAUAGGUGGGAGGCUUUGAAACUCAGUCGCUAGAUUGAGUGGAGCCAACGUUGAAAUACCACCCUGGUGUGUUUGAGGUUCUAACCUUGUCCCGUUAUCCGGGAUGGGGACAGUGUAUGGUGGGCAGUUUGACUGGGGCGGUCUCCUCCCAAAGUGUAACGGAGGAGUUCGAAGGUACGCUAGAUACGGUCGGAAAUCGUGUCGAUAGUGCAUUGGCAUAAGCGUGCUUGACUGCGAGACUGACAAGUCGAGCAGGUACGAAAGUAGGACAAAGUGAUCCGGUGGUUCUGUAUGGAGGGGCCAUCGCUCAACGGAUAAAAGGUACUCUGGGGAUAACAGGCUGAUACCGCCCAAGAGUUCAUAUCGACGGCGGUGUUUUGGCACCUCGAUGUCGGCUCAUCUCAUCCUGGGGCUGUAGCCGGUCCCAAGGGUAUGGCUGUUCGCCAUUUAAAGAGGUACGUGAGCUGGGUUUAAAACGUCGUGAGACAGUUUGGUCCCUAUCUUCCGUGGGCGCUGCAAGAUUGAGAGAGCCUGCUCCUAGUACGAGAGGACCGGAGUGGACGCACCUCUGGUGUAUCGGUUGUCACGCCAGUGGCAUUGCCGAGUAGCUAAGUGCGGAAGAGAUAACCGCUGAAAGCAUCUAAGCGGGAAACUCGUCUCAAGAUGAGUCUUGCCGGGGCCUAGAGCCCCCUGAAGGGUCGUUCGAGACCAGGACGUUGAUAGGCUGGGUGUGGAAGCGCAGUAAUGCGUUAAGCUAACCAGUACUAAUUGCCCGUGAGGCUUGACCCU
rnacentral:rRNA from 1 species